UACCGGCAGACAAGUGCGUCUAGCGGUUUUAGUUGAGCCAAAGGCUAGCAGCAGUUAAUAGCUAAAAUCCCCACAGUCGCAAGCUAAAUAAAAGCAAAUAAGCAAACAUGAGUGAAUUACAGAAUUUGAUGACAACUUUCCUCAUCCUGGCGGUCCUGUUGUUGUUCCUGUGGAUUGUAUAUGCGGUAUUGUAGAUCAGAAGACAUUGACAAUGGAAGUGCGGCGGUACCUAUGGAGCAACAGUAAUUGCAACAACAACAACAACAACAACAAAUAAAUCCAAAAUGAAUGAAGCCAAGAGUUUGUUCACCACAUUCAUCAUCCUGGCAUUUUUGCUGUUCCUGCUCUAUGCCUUCUACGAAGCCGCCUUCUAAAGAAACCACCACAGCCACCAAACAAAACUAACCACCCAUCAUGACAACCAUAACUUAGUUCAAGGAAACUUACAUGUUGAAUUUCAAUUCCAAGAAACAAAACAAAAAUAUUCAUAUUUACAUGAAAUGUAAAAUCAAAUUAGGACGUUACGCGUUUAAGUCGCUAGCAUUUAAUGGAUUUCUCUUAGUUCUACUUUAAGUCAGAUGACGUCAAAGCCCCGCGUUGCCCUCGUCCUUACAUCAUUAUUUAUGAAGAGGAAACUGCUGCCUCAUCGCCGCCCCUCCCGAACAUUGCAAUGCGCGGUGUGCCACAUUUCACACGAUUUGGACAAUUUGAAGGCCGGGCGCUCGAGAAACUUUCUGAUCGACAUGGCGCAUCGAAUGGCAGCGAUGUGGGCUGCGACGCUGCGGCGUUGGCAUCAUCUGUUCCAAUCAUAAAUAUUAUUUUUGGGAAGCAUAUUUUUUUAAAAUUUAGUUUUUGCAAUGAAAUUGUUAAUUCUAUGUAGACCACAAUGUAUAGUAUAAGCAGCAAGAAACGAGCGCAUUGAAUUGGGACUUCAAAAUUUCGCAUUCUUAUAUCUAAGAUUAUAUAAAUAACUGCAUUUUUAUCAUAACGCAUUCGUAAAUAAUUUAAAAAGCAACAGCAAACAACAACCUGCAGGA